GUCUGAUUGAAAGGGGGGUUGUGACUGAACAAGAACAAGAAUGGGGAUCUUUUGCAGGUGGAUAAAUUAGCACUUGAGACUUGUGUCUCUCUUCUGGAAGGAAGGUGCUUGUGUCUGCAACUGUACUUGUGAUAGUUGCGUAAGUGUAGGCGGGAGCACUGCGCUUUAUUGUUUUUAUUUGGAGGUUGAAUACGGGCAAAUCGGAUGCAUGGAUUCCCCCUUCAUAAAAUGUUCAUAUUUUCAUCGUUUCCAUAAAUGCAGUGGAUCAAUCUGCUUUGGGCCCAGCAAGAUCGGUCCCUGUGAUGCCCAGACCGUGCGGCAUCCUUGAAGGCCACGGCACGCACGUCCACCUCCACCGCGUCUAACCGGGAGUCCGUGUGCCCCGGAGGCAUGCCAUCUUCCCUCGUAUCUUGUUGGUCACCUCUCGGGUGACACACUUGAGGUACCUGGAAGUUUGCACUCAUAUCCGAAUUUCUCUUAAUCAGUCUCUGCUUCAUUUUAUCCGUUGCUGAAACACAAACGCUAAUUAUUAUCUCCCUGCUUACUAAAAGGAGCUUGUGCGUAUUCUGUCUUUACGCAGACCAUCUAGACAGAUA
rnacentral:lncRNA from 1 species